GCUGGAGCAGCGGGGCUGGCGGGGUAAAAGCUCCUGGCCAGGGCUGCCUGGAGCUGCCCCUUCCACUCCGCCCCCAGGGAGCUCCCGGGUCAUCCUCUCAUCCGGGCUGCCCCGCGGCCCCCAAGGAGCCCCACCCCCGGGACCAAAUGGCCCGCAAGGUUUGGGGCAGCGGCGUUGCAGGAGAUGAGCUCAGCGCAAAGGGAACCCCGCAGCGGCGAGUGCGGCUGCUGGCCUGCGCGCUGUGGCCCCAACAGGCUGGCAGGGCGCGGGCGGGUGGCGGGGUUGCGGUAUGAGCUUUGCUCCCUGCCCUGGGGUCCCGGGCGCUCCUGGCUCUGGAGGCCUGGCCAUCGGUCCGAAAAGCAAAGGGACAUUGUCGUGGUCCCCUCGGCCGCUUCGCUCCACCCAGAGACGCCCUGAGGAGAAGCGAGCCUUUGUACGAAGGCAGAGGGCUGACUCCUAAGUUCUGUCCCCCUCCCGAAGGCCGGCCGCUAGGGAAGACUUGGCCACCCUCUGGAAGUACCUUCCCCCGGGAAAACCGCAGCAGGAAAGACCAUGAAAUACUACUGUGUGUGAUCCGCUCCGUUUGGGGAGUAGGAUGAGGCAUCCCGCUUGGUUACCAGGCAGAAAGGGGCGAGUCGCGGGGAUGGGAAGACCCUGAUCUCUUGCCCAUUGCUGCGGCCGUCGGAGAUGCCCUCCCCCGCGGCCACGGAGGCGGUAACCUGAGCUGCUCCGCAGGACUGGAAACCGCACAACCUCGAAACCAGCUGCGCAGGAGAAGGGGAACCCCAUCCACCAUAAACAUCCCCUCUGCGAAGCCUCAGGAGCUGGAGGAGAUUUUAUUACCAUUUUUAUUAUCAAGAGCUUAAAAUUUCCCAGACAGUCUGUUUUCUCUCCCAGGCCCCCCAUGAGGUCCUUAAAAGCAAAGAUAUUUAAAAAGAACGAAAGAAAGAAAAAAACCAAAAAGCAAAUCCUUGGAAAUGCCUUAAAGGACUCUCCAGAGACACACUGCUCUUUGUAGGUGUUUAUUCCUAUGGGCCCACUGGACCAAACGCUAAAAAACGUGAAGACAUCAGACUGUGAGACUCAUAGAGCAGACACAAAAUGGAAAACUGGCCCAAAGCAGUUUGCUUCCUCAGAGUGGAGAGUUGUAUAUUUGAUGUUCCAAAAAUAUAUUUAUGCUUGCACAUAUAUUUUCUCAUUCUUUCUGGGGUCAGGUAUUUUUAUUUUACUGAGGAUGAAAUGAAAGUUCAAAGACAGAUGACUUGACUUGCCCAACAUCAUCUGAAGUUACUCCCUGAUAUAAAACUACUGGCCCUCUGUAGUUUUACUUUAUCUCUCGAUUCAGCAUAAUAAUAAUAACUAACAUUUAUUUAGUGGUACUAAGCUAUGAGCUUUGGGGCAAGCAAACACUGAGAUGGUCUCCAAUGAUCCCCAUUUCCUGGUGUUCAUUCCCCUGUAUAAUCUCUGCCCUGGGAGUGUGGACUGGCCUUGUGAUUUCUAACAAACAUAGUGUGGCAAGAGUGAUGAGAAGAAGGCUAAAUAAGAUUGUGGCUUCUUCCUUGUUAGUUGACUUUCCCUCUCAUUGAUUUUGAUGAAGCAAGCUGUUAUGUCGGGGAGGCCCACAUAGCAAGGAACUGAGGAGGGCAGCCUCUGGCCAACAGUCAGCAAGGAACUGAAUUCUGCCAACAACCAUGUCAGUGAGCUUGGAAACGGAUCCUUCCCCAGUUGGGUCUUGAGAUGGUAUCUCAGCGCUGGCUGACAUUUGAUUGCAGCCUUGCAAGAGACCCUGAAGCAGAGGACCCAGCUAAGCCAGGUGCAGAUUCCAGACCCACCAAAACUGAGAAUUAUAGUUUUGGUUAGAUUAUAAUUAUAGUUUUGGUGGGAUUCCAGACCAACCAAAACUGAGAAUUACAGCUUCAGCUUCAGAAGCUGAAGAAGCUGUGUGUUGCUUUAAGCUAUUACAUUUUGGGAUAAUUUGUUAUGCAGCAAUAGACAACUGAUAACAGGUAGUCGUUGUGUUAAGGAAACUAAAGCUCAGAUGGGAUUUUAAAAAAAUCAGUUAUUAUCACAUGGCUGGUAAGUACCAAAGCUGAGAUUUGAACCCAAUUCUGUCUGAUCUCUAAACCUCCACUCCUAACCACUAAAUUAUAUUGCAGCAAGGCCCUUUGGAAAGUAGCUCUAGUUUAUGUCUCUAACUUUAUCUCCCGUCACAGCCACCCUGAAGUCUCACCUGAAGCUGAGACUUUAAUUCUCCAAUACAACAUCCUCACAGGUGGACGAAGCUUUCCUGGAAUCCACAGUCUGAUUUAGAAGCCCUUUCUCCUUGCUUCCAUGUGCCCUGUGCUUGCCGUGAUCAUACCUCCUAUCACACAUCUCUCCCAUAAUCCUGAUCUCCACAUGCUUCCCUUACCACCACCACCACCACCACCACCACCACACCUGGAGGGCAGGGAUUUUGCCUUCUUCAGUGUCUGCCGCAAUGCCUGCCUGGCUCACUUGAAGUGUAAGAAAUGUUUGUUGAAUGAGUGAAGACAAGCAAGCCAGCCUGGGACUAGGACCCAUGUCUGCUGGCUCAGAAUGCAACAUUCUUUCCCCUACACCACCUUUCCUGCUAAUCUGACCUGACUCUUGUAAUCCUCUUUACCAGGCUGCCUAGCAACUCACCUACCACUGCUCUCCCAUUUUUGUCAUUCUUUCAUUCAUUCAUCCAUUCAACAACAAUUUCCUGAAAGUACACCAUGACAAACACAACUCUGCAAGAAAUAAAGGAGUACAAAAUGUGGCCCCUGACCUUAAAGAGCUCAUGAUCUGGUUGGGGAAACAGAGCAUAAGAGGAUGUCACUAGUUUUGAAUCUGAUGCAAUCUGAGUACAAAAAAAUAGUUCCAAUAGAGAAGAUGCUAAAACGAACAGUUUUGUUUUCCUGUCUGCAUAAAGUGGCUGAAUUCUCCCUGAAAUAGGAGGCUUUGGACAGCUGUGCUUAAGAGAACAUGCCUUUGAGCUUUUAUUCUGAUAUUAUUUUUAAAAGACGCUAUGGCACCAAGAGUGGUUUCUUCUUUAAAAUGUCAUUUUGUGUCUUGGGGAAAAAGAAAAAAAUCUGCCGUGGCUCUUUCACCAGUCAAAGUAAAUACUGAAGAAAUACUUUGCUUGUAUCCACAGCUCUCUUUGCAAGAGUAGAAUUUCCAUGACCUGCCAGACUGGCUGAAGAGGCAAAGGCCCCUUUCAGGCUGGGGGUUAUAGAGGACGUCUGUAGCAGUUUUUACCCUUCUUGGAUUGGAUCCUCAGGGUACAUCACAGCAUUGCUUGAAAAGUAAGAUUAUUUAGAUACAGGGCUUUUCAUCAAGCCAAGGAUGCUACCAGAUGCCUUGCCAAUAGACCUUAUCAAGAGUCUCCACAGUUACAUAUUUUUUGUGGUUAUAUUGUUGUUAUAAAUACCAAGACUUCAAGAAUGAUGAUACUUCCUGUUAUUUUAAUCAUGAGAAUGGAAGCAUAUUUGCUCCACAGUGUGGCAAAUGGAUGUUGGUAUUUAAGAGCAAGUUCUAUGUAUAGCACCGAUGGGUGUGUGUACAUGUUUGUAUUGGAGGUGGGCUUGGCAGGAAAUGUCCCAGUUCUUGUUGCACACAGUGAUUCUUUGCAUAAUUUUACUAUCCAUUAAAUUCCAGGGUGUGUGUGCUAGCAUGUAGAGAAAAUAGACUCGAACAAGUUAGUAUGUCUUCACAGACUCAGGCUUAAUUGAAAGUAGGUUAGGCCUAAGGAGAACCAUGAAGUGAGAAAGUAUUUAAAUUAAAAUGUGCAAUAUGAAAAGACUGUUCAAGCUUUUGAUAUGAAUCACUGCAGAUGCAAUUCUGCUGUGACAUUUUUAAGUAGAGAGAGGGUUGGUGUGGCAGACACUAUUGGAACCUCUCCCAACAGCCAUCCCCUCUUUUUUUUUUUUUUUUUUUUUUUUUUUUGGUUUUAGAAACCCCAUAUUGUUCAGGUAAAGGGUGCAAUAAGCCCGGGAAUGAUGGGUUGCUUCCUCAGCCCUGGCAGAUGCCCUAAGAUUGGUGGAAGCCAAUCAUGAUUAAGCCUUUCACCCUUAUAGUGAUACAGUCUCCUGUAACUUCAACCCUUCCCUCCCUGUUGGCCUCUUCCCCUCUGCCUCUAAAUCCCCUCUGCCCAGUCUUACCCAUAAAAAUAAAAAACAAAUUUCCCUA